UUAAGCGACUAAGCGUACACGGUGGAUGCCCUGGCAGUCAGAGGCGAUGAAGGACGUGCUAAUCUGCGAAAAGCGUCGGUAAGGUGAUAUGAACCGUUAUAGCCGGCGAUGUCCGAAUGGGGAAACCCAGUGCAAUUCGUUGCACUAUCGUUAACUGAAUACAUAGGUUAACGAGGCGAACCGGGGGAACUGAAACAUCUAAGUACCCCGAGGAAAAGAAAUCAACCGAGAUUCCCCCAGUAGCGGCGAGCGAACGGGGAGCAGCCCAGAGUCUGAAUCAGCUUGUGUGUUAGUGGAACGGUCUGGAAAGUCCGACGGUACAGGGUGAUAGUCCCGUACACCAAAAUGCACAGGCUGUGAACUCGAAGAGUAGGGCGGGACACGUGGUAUCCUGUCUGAAUAUGGGGGGACCAUCCUCCAAGGCUAAAUACUCCUGACUGACCGAUAGUGAACCAGUACCGUGAGGGAAAGGCGAAAAGAACCCCGGCGAGGGGAGUGAAAAAGAACCUGAAACCGUGUACGUACAAGCAGUGGGAGCACCUUCGGGUGUGACUGCGUACCUUUUGUAUAAUGGGUCAGCGACUUAUAUUCUGUAGCAAGGUUAACCGUAUAGGGGAGCCGCAGGGAAACCGAGUCUUAACUGGGCGUUAAGUUGCAGGGUAUAGACCCGAAACCCGGUGAUCUAGCCAUGGGCAGGUUGAAGGUUGGGUAACACUAACUGGAGGACCGAACCGACUAAUGUUGAAAAAUUAGCGGAUGACUUGUGGCUGGGGGUGAAAGGCCAAUCAAACCGGGAGAUAGCUGGUUCUCCCCGAAAGCUAUUUAGGUAGCGCCUCGUGAACUCAUCUUCGGGGGUAGAGCACUGUUUCGGCUAGGGGGUCAUCCCGACUUACCAACCCGAUGCAAACUACGAAUACCGAAGAAUGUUAUCACGGGAGACACACGGCGGGUGCUAACGUCCGUCGUGAAGAGGGAAACAACCCAGACCGCCAGCUAAGGUCCCAAAGUCAUGGUUAAGUGGGAAACGAUGUGGGAAGGCACAGACAGCCAGGAUGUUGGCUUAGAAGCAGCCAUCAUUUAAAGAAAGCGUAAUAGCUCACUGGUCGAGUCGGCCUGCGCGGAAGAUGUAACGGGGCUAAACCAUGCACCGAAGCUGCGGCAGCGACACUAUGUGUUGUUGGGUAGGGGAGCGUUCUGUAAGCCUGCGAAGGUGUGCUGUGAGGCAUGCUGGAGGUAUCAGAAGUGCGAAUGCUGACAUAAGUAACGAUAAAGCGGGUGAAAAGCCCGCUCGCCGGAAGACCAAGGGUUCCUGUCCAACGUUAAUCGGGGCAGGGUGAGUCGACCCCUAAGGCGAGGCCGAAAGGCGUAGUCGAUGGGAAACAGGUUAAUAUUCCUGUACUUGGUGUUACUGCGAAGGGGGGACGGAGAAGGCUAUGUUAGCCGGGCGACGGUUGUCCCGGUUUAAGCAUGUAGGCUGGUUAUCCAGGCAAAUCCGGAUAAUCAAGGCUGAGGUGUGAUGACGAGGCACUACGGUGCUGAAGUAACAAAUGCCCUGCUUCCAGGAAAAGCCUCUAAGCAUCAGGUAACAUCAAAUCGUACCCCAAACCGACACAGGUGGUCAGGUAGAGAAUACCAAGGCGCUUGAGAGAACUCGGGUGAAGGAACUAGGCAAAAUGGUGCCGUAACUUCGGGAGAAGGCACGCUGGUGUGUAGGUGAAGUCCCUGCGGAUGGAGCUGAGACCAGUCGAAGAUACCAGCUGGCUGCAACUGUUUAUUAAAAACACAGCACUGUGCAAACACGAAAGUGGACGUAUACGGUGUGACGCCUGCCCGGUGCCGGAAGGUUAAUUGAUGGGGUUAUCCGUAAGGAGAAGCUCUUGAUCGAAGCCCCGGUAAACGGCGGCCGUAACUAUAACGGUCCUAAGGUAGCGAAAUUCCUUGUCGGGUAAGUUCCGACCUGCACGAAUGGCGUAAUGAUGGCCAGGCUGUCUCCACCCGAGACUCAGUGAAAUUGAACUCGCUGUGAAGAUGCAGUGUACCCGCGGCAAGACGGAAAGACCCCGUGAACCUUUACUAUAGCUUGACACUGAACAUUGAGCCUUGAUGUGUAGGAUAGGUGGGAGGCUUUGAAGCGUGGACGCCAGUCUGCGUGGAGCCAACCUUGAAAUACCACCCUUUAAUGUUUGAUGUUCUAACGUUGGCCCCUGACCGGGGUUGCGGACAGUGUCUGGUGGGUAGUUUGACUGGGGCGGUCUCCUCCCAAAGCGUAACGGAGGAGCACGAAGGUUAGCUAAUCCUGGUCGGACAUCAGGAGGUUAGUGCAAUGGCAUAAGCUAGCUUGACUGCGAGCGUGACGGCGCGAGCAGGUGCGAAAGCAGGUCAUAGUGAUCCGGUGGUUCUGAAUGGAAGGGCCAUCGCUCAACGGAUAAAAGGUACUCCGGGGAUAACAGGCUGAUACCGCCCAAGAGUUCAUAUCGACGGCGGUGUUUGGCACCUCGAUGUCGGCUCAUCACAUCCUGGGGCUGAAGUAGGUCCCAAGGGUAUGGCUGUUCGCCAUUUAAAGUGGUACGCGAGCUGGGUUUAGAACGUCGUGAGACAGUUCGGUCCCUAUCUGCCGUGGGCGCUGGAGAAUUGAGGGGGGCUGCUCCUAGUACGAGAGGACCGGAGUGGACGCAUCACUGGUGUUCGGGUUGUCAUGCCAAUGGCACUGCCCGGUAGCUAAAUGCGGAAGAGAUAAGUGCUGAAAGCAUCUAAGCACGAAACUUGCCCCGAGAUGAGUUCUCCCUGAGACUUUAAGUCUCCUGAAGGAACGUUAAAGACGAUGACGUUGAUAGGCCGGGUGUGUAAGCGCAGCGAUGCGUUGAGCUAACCGGUACUAAUGAACCGUGAGGCUUAACCU
rnacentral:rRNA from 1 species